rnacentral:rRNA from 1 species
CCGGCGGCUUCGGUAUCGCCUGAUACAGCCUGCCGCGUGAGUGAAGAAGGCCUUCGGGUUGUAAACUCUUUCAGUCAGGAGGAAAGGUUAGUAGUUAAUACCUGCUAGCUGUGACGUUACUGACAGAAGAAGCACCGGCUAACUCCGUGCCAGCAGCCGCGGUAAUACCUACGUGCCAGCAGCCGCGGUAAUACAUCGGUGCCGAAGCCUUGUUUUAUUUUCUUUGGGCAUCGGCAGUGACACAAAUUA